AGUCGAGCGCGUUCCGGGGGCAACUCCGGGAUGAGCGGCGAACGGGUGAGUAACACGUGGGUAAUCUCCCCCCGAGUGAGGAAUAAGCCCCCGAAAGGGGGUCUAAUACUGCAUAACACCCAGGGGCAUAAGCUUCCUGGGUCAAAGCCGUAAGGCGCUUGGGGAUGAGCCCGCGUCCUAUUAGCUAGUUGGUAGGGUAACGGCCUACCAAGGUUAUGAUGGGUAGCCGGCCUGAGAGGGUGUACGGCCACACUGGGACUGAGACACGGCCCAGACUCCUACGGGAGGCAGCAGUGAGGAAUUUUGCGCAAUGGGCGAAAGCCUUACGCAGCGACGCCGCGUGGAGGAUGACGGCCUUCGGGUCGUAAACUCCUGUCAGAGGUGAAGAAUCCCCGCAAGGGGUUGACGGUAACCUCAAAGGAAGCCCCGGCCAACUACGUGCCAGCAGCCGCGGUAAUACGUAGGGGGCAAACGUUACUCGGAAUUACUGGGCGUAAAGGGUGUGUAGGUGGCUGAGUAAGUCAAAGAUGAAAUCCCGUGGCCUAACUGCGGAACUGUCUUUGAGACUGCUCGGCUUGAGGAUAGUGGAGGAGAAUGGAAUUCCCGGUGGAGCGGUGAAAUGCGUAGAUAUCGGGAGGAACACCCGAGGCGAAGGCGAUUCUCUA
rnacentral:rRNA from 1 species